GCAAAGAAUCACCAUUUGGCCCAGGAUUUUAUACAUUCAGAUGGAUGGAUGGGUGGAUGAGAUAGAUUUAUAAGAAUUACAGGAAAGGACGUUCCAAAUAAAACAGAAGACCCUUUAUUGGCACAUUUCAAUGAGGGAAUUUAAUGGUAGUUACCAGAGAUGGCCCUAAAGCAACUGCAGGAAAGAUUAUGAGGUGUUUUUUUUAUAUCUAACUGCAAGGAAGAAGAUGAAGCAGAAUUCCAGAAAAAUCAGGAAAGGAGUCCAUUUUUCUUCAGACAUGGAAACACUUGGAGUUUUAUGAUUUCUUGUAAGAAUACAUGCUCAGACUUUUGAAGUUUGUUCAAAACCCAUUUCCUAAGCUUAAUAAAAUAUGUUUAUCUGUUACUGUUCAUCUAGAAGAUAUUAUUAUGGUGGACUAGGCUGAAGUUUUUCUUGUAGAAAGCCUGUGGGAAAUAAAAGAACACCAGGAAAUGAUUUUAAAAAAUGCUUGCUAAAUUAAAAUAUAAGAAAGUUUAA